rnacentral:lncRNA from 1 species
GGAAAAUGUUUCUACUAUAAGAAAAACCCCUUUAAAAGUGGGCGAAAUAUUUUUCACUUUUGAAAAAUGAAAAACAUUUUACGUAACUUAUUCCACCUCAUUUUCUUUCACUAAACACAUUUUCAUUUCAUUUUCAUAUUUUCUUUUUCUUUUUUUUAAAAUUCGGUUUUAGUUUUUUUCUUUACUUUCUUUCCUUUCUCUUCUUCUUCUUAGGCCUUGGCCAAUCGCCGACCACGGUGGUAGCUAGCAACCAACCAUUGGCGAGCUCGGCUUCAAUUGGCCAUAAGCCAGGUCAGUGAGGCUCGAGCUUGAUCUGACUACCGCCAUGGCCAGCCACUAGCCCAAGUUGACCCAGGCUCGCCGAAAAAAAUUAAAAUUUAAAAAAAAAUGAAAAAGAGUGUAGAGCCCUUGGGGGUAAAGAAAAAAGAGAUAAAAUUUUAGGAGUCGGGUAGAAUUUCUGCCUAAAGUAGAAAAAAAAUUGGUUAUUUUCCUGAAAAAUGGUUUCUUGGAGAACCAUUUCUAGAAAUAGUAUAUUUUUCGGGAAACGAAAGGAACCUGAAAUUUUUUUGCAAAUUCUUUAGUCCGGUUCCAUAUAAGGAAUCGGAGAUCUGGCCUCAAACUAGUCCGUUUGGUCCGGUCCGGCUCGCUUGCUGGAUUGAACCGGGACGGACGCAGCCGCCCCUAGUCNNNNNNNNNNNNNNNNNNNNNNNNNNNNNNNNNNNNNNNNNNNNNNNNNNNNNNNNNNNNNNNNNNNNNNNNNNNNNNNNNNNNNNNNNNNNNNNNNNNNGAAGAACCUUCAUUUCCGUCGUCGAAAGUUAUCAGCAACUCGGCUAAAGAGCGUUACAGUGUAAAGAGCAUAUUCAUUAUCCUCAUGUAACUGCUUCGAGGAUCUGGGGACGUGACAGAACAGAAAAUUAGUAAGACAUGGCGAGAAGAAGGUAGGCCAGAAAGUUGUAGAUACUAUCUUGGCAACACAUCAUAUGCAACAAAGGUAGCACUCAUUAUGAUAGCAAGGCAGUGCCAACGGUCAUGAAAAUAGCACAUGGAGUGAGGAUGUAGAGAUAAAAGAAACACUUACCACAUAGCUUGUCAAAGUUUCAUAGCUUGACAACCAAUCCUUCUGUGAAUAUUUAGGUACUACUGCAAGGAGAGUUGUCAAGUUUUCUGAAAUGACAAUAUCCUCAGGUUUGACCAGAUUUGAAAGAUCACGGACAGCUAAGCUGAAGUAUAGAGAGAAGUAACCAAGCAAUGAGUAAUAAAAACAUUCUUGCCGUAGCUCAAUCAGAACCGGUAUAGUAGCUUUACCUUCCACUCUGCUUUCUGUUGAUAGCAUUCAGCUGACUCCGCACAUUGUUAUACUCAGCAACACGAACCUAAAAUACAAGAUCAAUACAUGCUUCAAUUUGAAAAAGAUUUGAUGAACUAACAGGCAAUGGUCAUAAUAGUAUGUAUGAGCUUUGCACGGAAGAGGUGCUCAAUUUGAUGUCUAAUAACCUAUACUUGCUAAGCUGAACUCUUGCAGCAACAACAACAACAUCACCGUCAUCAUCAACUGACAAAGCUUUACCCGCUAAGCCGAGUUCAUCACACGAAUGCUGUCACGCCUAAUUCUUACUCCCUUUGCUACUAGACUAUCGAAUAAGAUUUUCUAUGAGCAAACAGAAGCAAAACUAAGUCUCUCCCUCACACAGACCAACUACCUCAUUUAGCUAAGGAAGGCAUCAAUGGAUAACAUGUACAUACACUUAACAUGAAAAGCAAAAGGAAGGUUUUUACCUUCAGAUCAUCUUCGAUCUUCGCGACUUGUCCCUGAAUUGUGUCGACAGUCUCCCUCAAGGGAGCCAUCGCAGGGUACUUAGCAUCAUCCCAGACAAACCUUCCAUGCAAGAUCAAGGCUCAGUUCCCCACACAAAGAUUACUUCUACAUGGUAAAAGGUUAAAAAAAAACCAAAAAAAUUACACAGAAGCAGUUCUAAACUGUCGUAAGUCCCUCCAUUUCGGCCAAAGGCCCGAAAUCGAAUUCGCAACCCGAAACACGGGCACCAAAUUUCCCAGAAGAGCAACACAAUCAAGAACCAAUCACAUACCUCGUGAGGUAAGAGUCAACCGGCACGCCAUCCACCGUAAGAGAACUGCUCUCCACGCCCGACACCCUCUCCAGCUCCUCGAUCUGGCGCCUGAUCUUGUGCGACACGCCUUCCACAAAGGUGUUCGACUGCACAAUUACCCACACACGCAUCCCAGUUACCCACUCCGCCCGAAGAAAAUCAGCAGGCAAACGCCUCGCGAUCCUCAAAUCCCCAAACUUAGACGAAGAGGAAUAAAAAAUCACCUUUUGGAGAUCGUCGCUGAGGGCGAGGAGGGAGUCCAGGGUUCCCACGCGGAGAUUGGGGAUGUUGAACUGCAGAAUCGGGCGGGAUCGUCAGGUUCGACAAAGAUCGGAGGAAGCGAGCACGGUCUCGGAGCCGGAUCUCGAAGGGAAGGAAAUGAACGAAGGAAGAAGGAGGAGGAGGACGUACCCGGUAGAGAGGAGUGUCGAAGGAGUGCCUGGAGAUCUGCUCCUGGAGGCGGUUCCAGAGGGACGCGGCGGACGCGGAGCCCUGCUGCACCGGGAGCGACACCACCCAGUAUCGGCUCGCCAUUGUCUUCCCGAGCUCGCUGGCGGCGGCGGCGGCGGCGGCGAUCGGCGAUCGGCGAUCGGCGGCGGAGAGAGGGCGGCGAUCGGAGGAGGUGGUGGUCGUGGGAGUGCGGCCCGUCGAGAGUGGAGCGAUGCGGUGGCGAAACUCCUUUUCCUUUCGUUUCCUUCGUUUUUUGCCGGACGUCGCUCCAAAAUCUCGCAGGCUGCGGUCGGUCCUCUUUCCUUUUUGUAUUUUUCCCCUUAAUUAGACAUUGGUGUGGAGACACGUAGGCAGUACUCGCGAGGUGCGAUCUUAUUUCAUAAUGGUAUAUGAAGAAAUUAUUUUUUUUAUAUAAAGUUGAUUGUUAUUAUUAUUUUUUUAUAACCCAGGAAAUCCGCGCGCUAUACCAACACGGGCAGCCUGACAGGCAUGAGGUAACAGGGGGUAAACCCUAGGGCGACACUAGCGGAGAACCCACCACCCCGACGUCGCACUUAAAAUCCCGUACAGCUAGCGAGAUUCGAACUUCUCCCCUCUCGCAAAGGAUCAUAAGAGCAUUUAUUCAACUGGGCCACCGCAGACGGUGAUAAGUUGAUUAUUUUCUUUUAUGGUCGGAAGAGUGGCUUUUUUUUUUUUUUUUUUUUUUUUUUUAGCAAGGGAAGAGUGGCUUGUUUAAUUGAGUGGACAUGUAGGGUGUGUUUGUCUAUAACAAGUUGCUUGGGUCUCUCGCCGGAAAUAAGAGAAAAUUUCAAAUAAAUAAAUGUGUAAAGUGUCAUCAUUUUUUCAAAUAAAGGUUUGAAAUGGAAUUUGUGUCAAAUAGAAGUUGAAAGUGGAUGUUGUGUCAAAGAAGAACUUAAAGUGGCCAUGGUUGUUAUUGAUUGCUGGUCAGCUAAAUAUUCUGACCGGCCAAAAUGCAUUUUUGUCUAAAUACAAUUUUAAUUUUAUAUUCUUUUUUUCUCUUUUUGAAAAGGCACAUGUGACCGUUGGUUAGGGCUAAUGAAGACUCGGUUACCCUUGUUGGCCCUUGCCAGUGGGCAACGCGACCCAUGCCCAAACCUAGCGAGGAUAGCCUUCCCUAAGGCAAGGCAACCCUCACCUUGCCCAAGUAAGCCCAUCUCUUGCUAGAUCGAGUGAGGGAAACCCUCAUCUAGCCUUUUCUGGGCAUUGUCAGUCAGCGAAACACUAGUGAAGAAUAAAGAAAACCAGAAAAAGGAAAAAAUUCAAAAAAAAAAUGUGAAUAAUGAAAAUAUUAUUGACGAGUUAGAAAGUUAGAUCCUUAUGUGAAACAAAUACAAUCACUUCGAGCUUUUAUUUGAAGUAAGAUAUACUUAAAAUCCUUAUUUAAUAAAAUAAUGGCACUUUAGGCCAUUGUUUAAACUAGUGUCCAUUUUAUGUUUUUAUUUAAGAAAACAAAAGUACUUUAUUCCUUUAUUUGAAAUUUUCCCUAAGAACUAAUGAAUGGAUGGAAAAUGUUUUCAUCAUUUAUGAAAAUAUUUAGGCAUAAUUCUUGUUGAUAAUAAUAAUAUUGUCCCUUAACUAAUUUUUAUAAGCGAUAUAACCAAUUAGUUUUAUGAAAACGAUUUUCAAAUCAUUCAAUUUUUUUUUUUUAUGAAACAAACAAACCCUUAACAUGUGUUUGUCUAAAAAAAACUUCAUAACAAAAGGAAAAUGCUUUUCCAGAAAUAACUUUUUCAAAAAAUGUUUUGCUUUUUUCAAAUUAGGGAAUUCGUUUUUUAUAAUUUUAACCAUACAUAUUUUCUUUGACCGUAAAUAGUUAGUGUUUGACCAAUUAUGUACAACAAACCAAACUAAUGAAAGUCCAAAAAACUAGUUCUCGAAAAAUUCUUUCAUCGAAACACACUUGUAACGUGUUAUUAUUAAAAUGAGUGAAUCAUGUAAUUAGUUAACGUAAAGAUAAUUUUGAAAAGUUAAAAGCGAGACAAAAAGGAAUUUUCAAUUUAUAUAAAUGGAUUUGCUGAUUCUUAAUAUAUAUUUUUUUAUGCUCAACUUUUAGUUCGGAAAGCCCCCAGGUAAUUUUAGAAAUUCUUCAAAAAGGAAUGUUAUGAUAUUAAAGUUCCAUUAUACUUUAAAAAAUGCUGAAAAGUGGCACGACAAUAAUCAGUAGAACGAAAUAGAAAUGAAAAUAUAAAAAGAACAGGGGAAUGAAAUGACGCCCACCGUGGGGCUCGAACCCACGACCACAAGGUUAAGAGCCUUGCGCUCUACCAACUGAGCUAGACGGGCUUUCGUUGACGCUUCUAUGAUAUUUUAAUAUAAAACGUGUUAAGAGACCUCAACUUCCUUCCUCCAUGUGACGAACUUCAUGACUUCUAAAGACCUCCUUUUUGCUUUGAGGGAUGACAAGCGCUUGUAAUUAUUCAAUAAGAAACUAUAUAGACGGACACAAGCACGCAUUUACGAAGGGACCGAUUAAGAAGUUCAGCCAAAAUAUAGUGACCCCAAUCUGACUUAUUUCCCAAAAGAUAUUACAGUAGCAUAAUCAUUGAAUCCCGAGUUCAUCCUUCGUUCUUUUUUGGCCUUUUCGAUGGAGGUGAAGUUUAAUUAGAUGAUGAUUAGUAAGAGAAUUACCGGCAGCAUAAGUGAGAACCCAUGAAAGUUCAUUCGGUGACAUUUUUUUUUUUUUUUUUAAACUUAGGCUCUACUUGUUUCGUGAAAAUUGAAUGAUUUAGAAAGUACUAUCUCAAAAAAAUAACUGUUUACAAAAAUAAAUGAACGAAAAAUAUUUUUAUUAUCCAUGAAGAUGUUUAGAUAUAAAAUCGUUAUCGGUAAUGAAAACAUCUUUUAUUAGUUAAUUAUUUUAAAUAAUACAAGCGAUCAUUCUCAAAAAAAUAUUUUGUCAAUUAUUCACUUUUCGCAAAAUGAACAUAGCAUUAUAGUUUCGUCUCAAAAAUUUCGAUCGGUACAAUUUUAUUUUUAGUUAUUUUGUUUGAUUGAGUCUUACAACUGGCCCUAGAUUCUUAGGAGUUAUACGAUCCGUUUAUUGUUCUUCUUUUUUUUUUUUUAUACUAAUUUCUUUCUUAUUAUUCUUCUUUGUUUUUGUAUGAGAUCUUUUUGUUUUUGUUCAGUUUUUUUUUCUAUGAGAUCUUAGAGAGAACUAAAACAGCCUUAAUUUAGGGAAAGAAAAAGUUUUGUUGCAUCUAAUCAAGGGGAAAAAGGAAAUUAGCAAAAGAUAAUAAUUGUUGCGUUUUAGAUAAAGGUAUCAAAAUGGGUUGAAAACCCACUUUGAAGCCAAACUCAAUGAGAUGGGUCAUAUAUGGGUUAGUUAAGUUUUAAUAAAUGGAUUAUUAAUGGGUUUGGGUUGUAUGUAAGUCUAAUCAUAUAUGAUUGCAAAUGGGUUUGUCUUUAAAUCCAUUUACAACCUAUUUAACUUAUAUAGGUUAUUAGUUAUUAGUUAAGUCAACCCAUCAAGGAUCCAUCAUCCUCUUUGAAUAGUUUUCAUAAUUUUUAUUUUUAAAAAUUUUCUAUUUUUUAAUAAUUUUUAUUUUUUUAUUUUUUAUUUUUUUUCUUUUACACCGUGUCCCCUAUGAAGUUCGGUGGCCAACUCUCGCUAGUUGUGGGCGAGGUUUGCGACCCCUACCCAAUUGCAUCGGCAAGCCUCGAGCUCGUCGAUUAAGUGAGGCCGAUGCCUUGCUGGAUUGAGGCAAAAUUGACUCACCAAAUUUGAGCUCGCCAACCUCGGCAUUGGAGAGGCUCGAGCCUCCCCAAUCUAGCAAGACUCGAGCUCCCCGAAUUGGGCAAGGCCGAGGCUUGAGCCUCACUGAUCUAGCGAGACUCAAGCUCGCCAGCAUUGAGACGAGCUUGACCUCAUCGGAUUUGGUGAGGUGGAGCCUCACCGACCUGUGGUGAGGUUGGAGCUCACCUAUUGCUAGCCACUGUGACCUUGGGCAACGACUGGGUGAAUUAAAAGGAGUGCACAAAAAUCAAAUUAGAUUUUCUAUACCAAGCGAAAAAUAUUUUUUAAUUCAUUUUUAAUUUUUAAUCAAAUACCAGAAAAUAUUAUCAUUUUUAGAAUUACCAUGCUUUGCAUGAAAUAAAUAAAGCCUCAAUUUUAGAAAAAAAAAUAGAAAAUUUAUCCAUUAAUUUUGUAAUUGUACUGAAGUGUUUUAUCAAUAUAAUUUUUAUAAUUAUAAGAAACAAUUUUUUCUAGAUUUGGUUAACAGUGAAAGUGUUUUAGCAAUAUGGGUAAAGUCGAGUAUGAAUUAGAUACGAAUUGUGUUUUAGUAAUAUGAGUCAAGUCGAGUAUGAAUUAGAUACGAAUUAGGUCUGAAUUAGGUUGGGUGUGAGUAAAUAAAUUUACAUUAAUAAAAAAAAAUAGAUGAUAGACGGGUUAAUGGAUCAAUUUGGUUUGGACAAUUUAUAAUCUGAUCCAAACCCGACUAGAUCUACCCAUUUAACGGGUCUAGUUUUAGAUAACAUUAGAGAUGUAAGAAGUUCAAAAAAGAAUAAAACUAUCGAUCUAGCAACAAAUUCUUAUUAAGUGCUCGAAUGUGAUCCACAUAUAAAAUUCUACUCACAAUACUUAUCACAAAGUAUUGUCACAUUACUUGAUACACACCAAACGUCCAACUUUAUAGUAACAAUGAAAGCAUGCCACAGGUUUGACAUACACUUGUUAUUUCUUAUUGAAAGCUACAUAGAUAAGCAUAUAUAUAUAUGGAUUCAAAAGAUUGAUAGAUCCAUCUUGGCCCAAACAUAAGUCACCCCCCGCUCAAAUUUGUUUCAAGUUCUAGCAAAAGGCAGCUUCAAUUCGGUUUGAUCAAGACCAUGACCUUAGCAGAAGUCAUCGAAGCACCAGUUCUCAACCGUACCGAAGCUUUCCGGCGGAGAGAUCCUAGCAUAGUUGGUCAUGGAUCCGCCCAAAAAAUCGAGUGGAGAGUCAUUGGAGAAGCUGGUGUCAUAGACGAAUGACAUCUCCACGUCGUGAUCGAUGGUAGGGUAAGUCUCUUCGAAGGAGUUGAUGUUAUUGUUCAUCUCGUCGUGGUCUUGAAGAGGUAGGUCGCUGAUGGUGCUCUUGGCGAUGUCUGUAUAAACAUCUUCUUCAGAAGCUUUUUUGGCCUGAAUCACCUGCCAAAAUGUAGAGAGCUAGCGCAAUCACCUGCUGUCAAUAAUCAAGAUAGCUGUGUGCUACGAAAUUGCCCCAAUCUCAUUCAAGCAUUAGAAUAGCAUUUAACUUACAUAGUUGUGAUUUUGACAGUCUUGGUACACCAUGAUGAAAUCUCCUACUUGUAACCCAUGCGUGGUCACAAAAUCCCCUAGGACAUAAAACAGACCAUAUAAAUUAUCAUCGAGUACCGCGAAAGCAAAAUAUAAACAAAGUCAAAAAGUGAAUCUUACUCAACUAAACAAUGACGUGCAUACCGGUGUUCUCAAGGACAUACAUUCGACUGUUGUUAUUAGGCCAAAAUCUGCAGGAAGAGAGAUGUCGAUUCAAAUUUGUCACCUCAUCAGUGAGAAAAGCGCGAAAAAGAAAACAUAGUUCCAUCUUAAUCACCCUUAGCCAAAACUUUCUUAGAUGAGCUCAAUUGGUCACUACAAGCAUGGACCAAUGCGGUACCAUUGUGAUUUAGGUUAAAAUUGAAGCGUACUCGAACCUGUAUUUGAAGCUCCACGUGUGUUGACCAUCCAGAUCAUACAUGUUUAUGAAAAUACCCUCCUUGGAUUCUAGCGCAGGAAGAUGAGCCUCUGCUGCUUUCUGAAAUAAUUUGUGUGGUUAGCAAUUUUGAAUUAGUAGUAAUAAUUACUAUUUGUUAACACUAGCAAAUAGCCAAAAGUUGAGAAUUUUUUAUAGUAAUGACCAACAAAGUUAAGCAUAUGUAGAAAGAUAAGCAAGUACCUUUGGGAGUAUCAUUCUUCUCAGGGAGCUCACAUCACUGUUCUUGAGCUCCUUUUGGAAGAGGAAACUUAGACUCCGUGGAUCAAAUUCCUAUAAUCAAAUCCGAGUCAUGAAAGCUUUACCGAGAUUAUUACAAAGAGGUUACUUAGAACACGUACCAUGGCUCUGCAGCAAAGUGAAGUGAAGAGCAUAAUUCAUAAUACAAGUAAGCUAGGAUAUCCCUUGUGGAAAAGACAAAAAGAGAGCAGAAAUCUACAAGCUAAACCAAUUGACAAAUCACGUCCAAUCGUAAACUAAUACCAACGAGAUAACUUACUGUAUAAAGGACUAUCAUUACGUUACGGUUAUAGUCACCCAAAUGACAUACGUUGUGAUUUUGUGGAUCCAAAAAACUUACUAGAUGUGGUGAACUCGAAACACCUAAACCAACCAUUGUACACAAGAUCCGUUGCCGUUAGCCACUAUCCAUUAGGAAAGUAUCUGGCCAUUAAACAGAAAAAGCUGAUAAACAACCAGAAGAAGAAGUUCUAAAUCUGACCAAUCGAACCCAAGUCUCCAGAGGAAGCCAUCCAAGAAAAUUCCCCUUUAUGUAUAUGAUUACAAUCUAGUAAAUCUCUAUAUGACGAUUGGACUGAAUGAGACCGAUGGCUAAAUCAUAAGAUGUAUUUUGACUUUUUUUCCCUCUUUCGAAUCAGAUAUAGUAGAAACGUUAUGGAUGUAAAUAUUGAUUACAUACAUUUAUUUCGCAAUAUUUAGAGCUCUACCCCACUUUUAGAUUCUGCGAAGGCCCUCGGGCAUUCUUGAAGUCUCACGUCCCCUGUUCAGCUUAUAUCAGCUCGGUACCUUAACCAGAUCGAAACGUUCUUGGGUUCUCGUUAUCUUGUCCCCGACUUUUCCCCCUUAUUUCGCCAUUUUUCUUUGCUAAUUUAUCUUUAUGUAUAGCUUCACUUCAUCGUCAAAUUCAUCAACAUAAGCAAAACUAAUCAACUACCCACCGCACGAUCUUCUUCUUCAUUUUAAUCCAAGUUAUUGAUAAAUGGGGUCGAUCCACUAUAAUUAGUUCGGAGAAAAUUAUGCUUCGAAUUCACUGCUCUUUGCAUAAAAGCCCUGUUAAAAAGACACCAAACCCUAGACGGUAACUAAAAAUCAAAAAAGAAAGAAGAAAGAUAUGGUAUUAAUUAGCAGACAAGAGAUUCACGACGAUCGAUAUUAACAGAGAAAGAUCAAUCUUGAAAAAGAGGGGGAUCAUCAGUGACCCAUUUGACCAACCCAAGUUAUGCAGAACAUGACAUCGAUCUUUAUUAACGAGGGAUUCAAUGAGAGAGAGAAUUGCUAGUUGAUAAAGAAAAAGAAAAAGGAAAACGGGGGUUUUACUGAGUGGGGGGAGCUCACACGUGCGCGGGGCUGGAGGAGGAGGGGGCAAUCCGGCACGUGCGAGGCGGAGACGCGGGGGAAGGUGAGGAAGCUGACGUGAGGUCGCCUGAGCCUGGCCAUCCUCUUCCUCCGCCGGACCGCCCCGAAGGUGGCCAAGGCCGCGACCAGGUCUGGCCCGUCGCGGAGCGACCCGGCAUUGUGGGUGUCGCCCGCCUUCUUCUUGAGCCCGCCAUCCUCAUCGUGAUCCACCACCACCAUCAUCAUUUUUUUCCUAGGCGAGCGAGUGGGUGGUCGGGGCUUCUGGGUUUCAGUGUAAAAAGGGAGAGAGAAAGGACUGAGACUUUGUUGCAGAUGGAGGAGCUACAGGUGGUGAUGGUGGUGGUGAGGUGGGUGUUAUAAAGAGGCCGAAGGAGAAAAUAUCGAUAAUCUUUCUCUGCUCUCUACUUUCUCUCUCUACGUGAUGAGAGGUGGGUGUUCUUUACAUUUCCGUUUUAGGGCUUUCUUCUUUUCACUCUUCUUUUUUGGGACUUUUAUGUGCACUGUUGACUACACAGCGAGGCCGUGGUGACAAGUGUGCAUGCUGCGUUCAGGCCAUCGUGGGGUUUCAUUUUUCGUUUUCUUUUUCUCUAUUUCUUUGCGGAAGCUAGGGUUUGGUUUUUGGAGAGCAGAGGAGGGGGUGAGGGAGUGUGGAGACAGGUGGGCGACGUGCAUUCAUUCAUGGAGGGUUGGCUUUAGAUCUUUUUUUCCCUGUUUGGUUUCACAGCGACACACAUGAAUGUUCAUGCGCAUAAAGACAUGUGAUGCGCAGAGUUAGAAAAGAGAAACGUAAACUCGAGAGAGUGGUGAUGACUGACGAGGGGUUGAACUGGGGUUGGGUUUGGGUUGGAGUUCAGCGGUUAGCGUUGAGAAACGGGAAGAAAAACAAUGGGGGCUAGAGAGAGNNNNNNNNNNNNNNNNNNNNNNNNNNNNNNNNNNNNNNNNNNNNNNNNNNNNNNNNNNNNNNNNNNNNNNNNNNNNNNNNNNNNNNNNNNNNNNNNNNNNNNNNNNNNNNNNNNNNNNNNNNNNNNNNNNNNNNNNNNNNNNNNNNNNNNNNNNNNNNNNNNNNNNNNNNNNNNNNNNNNNNNNNNNNNNNNNNNNNNNNNNNNNNNNNNNNNNNNNNNNNNNNNNNNNNNNNNNNNNNNNNNNNNNNNNNNNNNNNNNNNNNNNNNNNNNNNNNNNNNNNNNNNNNNNNNNNNNNNNNNNNNNNNNNNNNNNNNNNNNNNNNNNNNNNNNNNNNNNNNNNNNNNNNNNNNNNNNNNNNNNNNNNNNNNNNNNNNNNNNNNNNNNNNNNNNNNNNNNNNNNNNNNNNNNNNNNNNNNNNNNNNNNNNNNNNNNNNNNNNNNNNNNNNNNNNNNNNNNNNNNNNNNNNNNNNNNNNNNNNNNNNNNNNNNNNNNNNNNNNNNNNNNNNNNNNNNNNNNNNNNNNNNNNNNNNNNNNNNNNNNNNNNNNNNNNNNNNNNNNNNNNNNNNNNNNNNNNNNNNNNNNNNNNNNNNNNNNNNNNNNNNNNNNNNNNNNNNNNNUAAAUAUAUAUAUAUAUAUAUAUAUAUAUAUAUAUAUAUAUGUAUAUAUAUAUAUUACUUGAAACUUCCGCAAAAUGAAGUAUCUCCCUCGGCUCAAAUUGUUUUAGAACUCUAUUAUCAGAGCCGUUGAGUUUUAAUACAUAAAACUAUAUGAUUCGAUUCAGAGGUUUGAAAAAUAACUAUUAUGUAUUGGGGGGGAGCAUUAUGUAUAUUUUAUUAGUUUAUCUUAUAAAUAUAAAAACUUAUUAUGAAAGUAUAAUUGAGCCUCGAAACUUUCAGAUAUUAUAAGGGAGUCUAACAACUUAUCAUAUUGAUGUAGAGAAAACAACUCCGUCCGACUCGAUAAAGUGAAAAUUCGAUAUACUUUUUUUAUUAUAUUUUCUCUCUUUUAGGUAAGCAAAGUAAAAGAUGCUGAAUGCAAACCGCCAAGCUCGGUGUCAAACCAUUCAAAGUCUUUCCUUGAGAAACAGAAACCAUACGACAAGCAAAUAACACGGAAGACAAACCAUAUUCAAGAAAGUGGGAAAAAUUCCUCACAUUUUUAUGGCCUAAAGUUUUAGGCUGCAGCUCUGUCGCCCCUAUUUCCGCGGGGCAAGGUCUAGCUUGCACUCUCCUUAUCACGCGGUGGUGGCAAUCAAAAGAAUAAAGAUGACUUAACUUUUCGUCGCCUGUAGUGUUAAGGACGGUCUAGCGACAAAGGAACAAUCUGGUUUUUGGCAAGACAAAUUGGGUUUAUGAAUUACAGUUGUUAGAGCUCUUUCAAUCUACAACUCCUUUUAAGUAGCCACAACAUAAAAGUAUCGCUUUAGCACUUGGUGAGAUAAUCGAACGGUGGAUAAGGAGAUAAGGGUACUUCAAGUAUCAUAACUUUCAUAUGGUAUUCAUUUAAAUGUCAUAACUUAUUUUUCGACCAUUUAAGUACAAUAACUUCUAAAAAAAACAUUUAUUUGAAUGCCACAACUUUCAAUUCUUCACUUAAGUUCCAAUUUUGUUUUAAAAUAUUCACCCAAAUGCCGGAAAUCCGAUGUUGCACGGCACUUGUGGUGAAUAUUUUUUGAAGUUGUGGCAUUUAAAUAAUUAAUUGAAAAUUUGAAUGAUACUCAAGUUAUUUAAAAAAAUAAAUUAUGACACUCAAAUGAACACCGUACAUAAAUUAUGUCACUCAAAUGAUUUGAAAAAAUAAAAAAGUUAUGGUAUUCAAGUAAGCACCUUAAAAAAGAUAGCAUAUGUGAUGUCAUUUCCCCCAAUAUAAAUAGCUCCACUUAUUAAAACUUUAAAGGUGAAUAUUAAUGGGGCUUUGUUUUAAUGAUGAUCACGUAUAGAAGAUAGAUAAAAGAAGAGAAGACGGACAUUCAAUAAUUAACGUGGUUUAGACAACCAAGAGAAUAGUCCCCUUUCAUCCAUAGUAGUAAAUCCCCAAUUCAUCUUAUUUUCUUUGGGGAGAAUUCAUUAUACUUUAAUAGCAAUUUAAUGAGUUGCAAUCAUUAACUUGGUAAUUAUAGCUAUCACACAACCCAACCAAAUCUCCAGCCAUAUUGAAAUUAGGACGAUUUGACGUCCUCGUUGUCCCAACACCCUCCCCCCCCCCCCCCCAAAAAAAAAAAAACUGGAGCAAAAACGUCAUCGAAAGUCAAUUUGGAUGCCAUGCGUUGGAAAACACCUUUAGAGGGAGCCUUAGUGAACGCGUCUGCAAGUUGGUUAUCAUUCAGACUUAGGAAAUUUCAAUUAUCUUAGUCUUGAACCACAAAUAAAGUGACAAUCGACUUAUAUAUGUUUCGUUCAUUCAUAAAAAAUUGGAUUUGAAGCAAUAUAGAUUGUGGCGAUUAUCAGAAAAUAACUUUAUGGAACACUUAGAGGUUCCAAACCUCAAUUCUUGCACAAACAAUCGAAGGCAAACCAUUUCACUAGUAGUUGAGUUCAUGGCUCUGUAUUUAGCCUUUGCAUUGGACCUUGCCACGAUAGUCUGUUUUUUUACUUUUACAAGUGACUAAGUUGCUGCCAACAAAGGUGCAGAAGCCUGUAGUUGAUUUUUGUUCGUAGGACUCCUAGCUCAAUCCGCAUCAAUUUACCCUGAAAUACCAAUAUGACCAUUUCUUCAUUAAAAUACCCUGACCUGCACUAGACUUUAGGUACCAAAGUCUGUAAUCCACAAGUGCCAUGUGUCCUUCAGUAGGAGCAUGUAUGAAUUGGCUUACAUAACUGACGCCGGAUGGCAUAAGCAAUACAUGGACGGUUAAUGGUUAAGUAAAUCAAUUGUCCAACCAACCUUUGAAAUCGACCACUACCAAAACAGCUCUAAGUUUCUCAAUCUCUUUUAACAAGUCAAGAUUAAAUUUCCUUUGAAAUACAAAUAAUAAUUUACUAGAGCAAGCCACCUCUAUACCAAGAAAGUAGCGCAGGUGUCCCAAAUCCUUGAUGUCAAACUUCACAUUCAAGUGCCCCCUAAGAGCCUCGCUUUCAUGAAGAUUAUCACUGGUAAUAACUAUAUCAUCCACGUAGACAAGAAGAGUCACCGUCCCUUUGGCACUCUGCUUCACAAACAAGGAGGCAUUCGAAUCACAUUGUUUGAAUCCCACACUUUCAAGAGCGGAACUUAAUUUCCAUAUCAAGCAUGUGGCGACUAUUUGAGAUUACACAUUACUUUAUUAAGCUUGCAUACUACAUUAGGUUGAGUAUUCAUGUAAACUUUUUAUUCCAGUUCUAUGGAACACAUUUUUAACAUUCAUUUGAAAGAGUGGUGAAUUAUAAUUUGCAAUUAUAGAUAUCAAAACCGUUACUAUGUUCAUUUGUGCUAUGGGAGCAAACAUAUUUUUAUAGUCUUCACCAUAUGUUUGAGUGUAGCCCUUGGCAAUAAGUCUCGCCUUAUAAUGCUCAAUAGAACCUCCACUCUUGUAUUUAAUUUUAUACACCCAUCUGCAACCAACAGAACGCUUUCCUUUGGGUAAGGUAAUGAUAUUAAAGUGCGAAAUUUUAUCAAGUACUUCUAGCUCUUCUUUCAUAACAUCUCACGACACUUGACAACCUUGGCUUGGAGAAAGAUAGUAGAUUCUUUAUGAGCAUCCACAGCUGAUAAAAAACCAUGGAAGGCAAGCGAAAUUUUAUUGUAGCAAAUAUGAUCCUGUACAGGAAAUCGAACAAGUAAUAAGUGGUGAAGUCAUGAAGUCUGGUAGAUUGUUGUAUCCUAGUGGUCCUAUGGAUAGGAGUUGAAGCAGCGGAAGCAGGUGUAAGAUAUUUUAUCUCAACAAUUUCAUCCACUUGCUCUGGAUUAAGAACAGGAUCAUUGAUGUGAUCAUUCAUAAUCAGCAAGGGAGCAACUUCAACAUCGAACCCAUUAUCGUCUAAGUUAGUACCACUAUUCUCCCCCUAAAAGUGUUCUUUGCUUGAAAAAAACAUGCAAGUCUCAUCGAAGAUAACAUUAUGGAUGAUAAAACCUUCUUAGUCGAUGGAUUGAAAUAUUUGUAUCCCUUCUUGACUUUGGAGUAACCAAUAAAACACAUUUGGGAGCAUGAGAAUCAAGUUUUCCCACAAGAGAGUAAACAAAACAAACACUUCCAAAUAUUCAUGGAUGUGGAAUAUCCACAGGUUGCCUAAUAAGUGCCCCCAUUGGAUACGUGUAUCAUAAGAUCCUACUGGGAAGACAAUUAAUCAAGUAACAACUAGCGAUCACGGCAUCUAACCAAUAUGUAUAGGGAAAGUUACCAUGAAAUAACAGAGUUCUUGUCAUUUUAAGUAAGUAACAAUUAUUCCAUUUAGCUACCUCAUUUUGUUGAGAGGUGCCAACACGGGAGGUUGGAUGAACAAUUCCCAAAGACUUAAGAAAUGACUAAAAAAAUGGUUUGUUUAUUCAAUUCCAUUAUCAGUUCAAAGAAUCUUGAUAUGAUGACCAUAUCAAGUGUGAACCAUAUUACAAAAUUCUUGGAACACUUUCAACACUUCACUCUUAAAGGCCAACAAAGAAAGCCAAGUGGUGCCGGACUUAUUAUGAAUAAAAGUAACAAAAUAUCUAAGACCAUCACGAGAGUCCACAGGAGCAUUACUCCAAACAACACAGUAUUAAUUUAGAUGGUUCCUGUGAAACCAAGGAAUUAGUAAAUUGAACUAGAUUCUUAGAAUCUAAAAUGGAAGGUUUUAUGCAAUCGGAUUGGAUAACAUGCUGUAGUUGAAGAGCGAGUUUACCCAGAGAGGUUUGGAAGUAAGAUGUCGAGCCUUGAGUUUGAGCUACAACCUUGGCAUCACCCCUUUAUCCUUAUUAGGACGAAGAUGAAGAUACAGUUCCCAAUAACGAUCCUUAAUGUGAUCGUCCUUCUCAUAAUAAUCACAAUGAAAAUUAUUACCGCGGCCUUUGCAUUUACCUUUACCCGAACCAAAACUACCCCCAUCAGAACCAGAGUAACCGCUAUAACUAGUUUUAGCAACAUGGGCAGACCUCUCAACCGAAUUUCCCCCUUUCUUGGAAUCAGAAGGCAUCACGCGACAACGAGUUUUCUCCCUUUUAACCAUAGCACAAACAAUAGCAAAGUUGGGAAGAGUGGAAUUCGUUAGAAUCUGUCUCUUAAGGUCUUCACAUUCAAGUCUAAGAUGGACCAGAAGUUGUAAUAUCUUGUCCUUCUCUUCACGUUGGGCAUGAAUCUCAACCGUAUGAGCUGGUGGUCAAUACUGUCACGGUUCAUCCCACUUCUUUUUUAGAUUACCAAGAUGUUUGGUGAAUGUUUGAUUAGGCGCUUGGUCAUAUGAGCAAGCUCCUGUUGCAACUCAAAUACACGGGAUGCAUUAUCAAGUUUGCCGUACAUAUCCUGCAAAGAAUCCUACAGGGACUUGCAGUCUCUAAAUAAGCAAAUAUCUUAAAGAUUUGAGACUCUAUUGAGUUAAACAACCAAGACAUGACCAUAUCCUCAUUUGCCUACAAUUCAAGGAAUUUUGCAUUUGUAGAUGCAGGUGCUCUGACAAGACCAUUCGCAUGACUCAAUUUCAAUCUGCCCCAAGAACUAUAGAGACAACUUUAGACCAGGGCAAAUAAUUACGCCUAUUUGACAUAGUAAUUGUAAGUUUAUUGGACCACUAUGAAACAGAUUUAUUGUUAUCAGCCAUAGUGUUAGAUAGAAAAAGAGCACAAAAUUCUGUAAACUUAUCUGAGACCAAUCGAAUCUAAUGACAGAUUGUCGUUUGCGCAAACCAAAAACACCAUAGCAAAAAUAGAUCCAUAAAUAGGAGAACAUGUCAUAGGCUGUAAGAAACUCCAAAACAGAUUAGUCCAAAGAAUAAGAUUGCAAGAACAAUUCUCAAUAGGCUGCUGGUCGUCCAUUAUUGUAACAACAAUACUCGGAUUCUCAAUCACCAAUAGGACAAGCGGAAACAUUGACAAUGGAGCCGACCUUAAGAUUGUGUUUCACUCUGAUACUGUGUUUAAUGAUGAUCAUGUAUAGAAGAGAGAUAAAAGAAGAGAAGAGGGACACUCAAUAGUUAACGCAGGUCAGACGACUAAGAGUACAAUCCCUUGAAGCAUAUCCAUGGUGGUACUCCCUAUUACAUCUUAUUUUCUUUGGGAAUGAUUCAUUAACCUUUAAUAGAGAGCAAUACAAUGAGUCACAAUCAUUAAUUUGGCAACUACAGAAAUUGCAUAAUGCAACUAGAUCUCUUAUUAUAUGGAGAUUAGGAUGAUCUAGUAUCCUCAUCAUUCCAUUAGGCUCGUUUUGAGAGAAGCUUCACUAGGGGCCAGGGCCAUUGGGGUUAUCUGUAAAGACAAUCGUGGCAUUCUCGUGGACGGAUUCGUGAUGACAAUAACUGGUUCUUCAGCUACUAUGAUUGAAACCCUAGCUUUCAUCGAAAUGCUUUAUACCUUGAAGUAUAUAACAGAUAAAAGAGAUCGUGGGAAUAUGUUUCUUUCAUAUUUUAUACUCUUUUUAUUUUUUCCUUUUCUUCAUUUUAAACUUUGAAGAUUUUUUUAAUGUAACACUCGACAAGCGCCACAUUGGUGCUACAUGUCCUGAAAAGUAAUAAAAAGUGAUGUUGACGUUUUCCUUUAGCUAGAUUGGACAACGUUAAUCAAAAGAAUAAACUGCAUCAACUUUAGAAGUCUUAAAAUUCGAUUAUACCAUUUAAAAUUUUUAAAAUUCAAUCACACUUUUGCAACAAGUAUUAAGACUUCUGAUGUACUUAUUUCCUUAAUAAUGUUGUAAAGUUCUGUUUCUGGGCAUUUGAUUACUUGGUUGGUAAAGGGGCGGUAGAUAAGGAGCUGAAGCAAAAAAGUCGACUUGUGUAAAUUCUGGAUAUUUCAAAUUAGCCGAUCUCUCUCUGUCUCGUUCUCUCUCUCUAAAUUUGAUUCUUGAGCGAGACCCACGUUUUCAACAAAAUUGUCGUUUAAAUAGGAAUUGCGAUUUGGAACAUUCCAAGCCACCUAAAUGCCACGCACGGGUCCUUCAGUUGGGGAAAUCAACUUUUUUUAUGCUCAACUUUGCUUCCCUUGGAAGAUGACAAGUACCAAACGUCUGAAUAAGUAACAGCAAAAGCAUACCACAGAGUUUGACAUACACUUUUUAUUUCUUAUUGCAAGCUACAUAGAUAAGCAUAUAUAUAUAUAAUAUAUGGAUUCAAAAGAUCAGUGCAAAAAAAGGAAAAAGGUUUCCAAUCUUGGCCAAAGCAUGUCACCCCCACUCAACAUUUUUCAAGAUCUAGCGAAAGUCGGCUUUAAUUCGGCUAAACCAAGAUCGUGAACCUACCAAAAGUCAUCAAGGCACAAGUUCUCGACAGAACCGAAGCUUUCCGGUGGGGAAAUCCUGGCAUAGGUGGUCAUAGAUCCGCCCAAAAAAUCCAGGGGAGAGUCAUUCGAGAAGCUGGUGUCAUAGACAAAUGACAUCUCUGCAUCUUGAUCGAUUGCAGGGUAACUCUCAUCGAAGGAGCUGAUGUUAUUAUUCAUCUCAUAGUGGUCUUGAAGAGCCAAGUCGCUGAUGGUGCUCUGAGCAAUAUCCGUAUAAACAUCUUCUUCAGAAGCUUUUUUGGCCUGAAUCACCUAUCAAAAUGUAGAUAUUUAUAUGAAUCCCUGUUGUCAAUGAUCAGAAUAGCUAUGAAUUCGGAAAUUUUCUCAAGCUCAUUCAUCUAUUAGCAUUGGUGUGUACCAUAACAUUUAGCUUACAUAAUUGUGAUUUUGACAAUCUUCGUACACCAUGAUGAAGUCUCCAAGUUGUAACCCAUGAGUGGUGACAAAAUUCCCUAGGACAUAAUAAAGACCAUAUAAGUUCCUAUUGAAUAUCAGGAGAGUGAAAGAUAAAAUAGUCGAAAAGUGAAUCUUGAUCAACUAAACAAUGAUGUGCAUACCCGUGUUCUCGAGGACAUACAUCCGACUGUUGUUAUUAGGCCAAAAUCUGGAAAGAAAGAUGUCGAUUCAGCAAAUGUCACUACAUUAAAAAAGAAAAGCAAUGAAAAAACACAUUGUUCCAUCUUAAUUAUACUAGGCCAAAACUAUCCUAGAUAAGCUAAUUGGUUACUAUAGGCAUGGCCAAUGUGCAACCGUUAUAAUUUAAAUUAAUAUAGAGUUAUACUUGAACCUGUAUUUGAAAUUCCAUGUGUGCUGACCGUCCAAAUCGUACAUGUUUACAAAAAUGCCCUCCUUGGAUUCGAGCAUGGGAAGAUGAGUCUCUGCCGCUUUCUGAAAUAAUGUGUGUAGUCACCAAUUUAAAAUAGUUGGCAAUAAUUACUAAUUGUUAACAUUAGCUAUCGGCCUCAAGUUAAAAUCUUCAUAUGGUAACGACUAACAAAGUUAUUUAGAUGUAGACAUAAGCAUAUACCUUUGGGAGUACCAUUCUUCUCAAGGAGCUCACAUCACUGUUCUUCAGUUCCUUUUGGAAGAGGAAUCUCAGUCUCCGUGGAUCGAUUUCCUAUAAUUAAAUUUCAGUCAUCGAAAUUAUUGCGAUGUUAUUACAAAGAGGAUACUCAUAACACGUAUCAAUGCUUGCAGCAAAUUGAAGUAAAGAACAUAAUUCAUCAUUCAAGCAAGCUAAGGAUAUCCAUCAUGGGAAAAAAAAAAAAUCUACUACCAAGCUAAUUGACAAAUCAGUGUCCGAGCAUAGACUAAUACCAACAAGAGAACUUACUACAUUACGAGUUGUCACCAAAAUGACAUACGUGAUGCUUUUCCCGAUCCAAACAAGUACUGGAUAUGGUGAACUCAAAACACCUAAACCGGCUUUUGUACAGAAGAUCCAUUGCCGUCCCCAGUUAUCCAUCACGAAAGUUAAUGCUAGCUGUUAAACGGAACGAGCUAAUAAACAGAAAAAGAAAAGUGGUUCUAAAUCUGACCGACCGUCUCCGAGUCUCCAAAUGAAGUCAUUCACGAAACUUCUCUAGAUAUACAUAUAAUCUCUAUUAUUUAUUGAAAUGGCAAUACAUUCUCUUACAGCCCAUGGAGUCAUCAUAUUGGAUAGAAAAUCUAGUAAAUCUCAUAGACGAAGAUUGGACUAAAUGAGACCUAGAGAUAUUAAUGCCAAGCCCGCCCUCGGGACAUUAUUGAAAUCUCAUGUCCCUUGUUCUGCUUUUCAUAUCUUGGUACCUUAAAUUAGAUCAAAAUGUUCUUCGGUUCUCUUAACUUUUUUCCGCGACUUUUCCCCCCUUCACUUGCUAUCGCCGAAAAUUAUAAGCUUCAUAUUUUCCUUCGCUAAUUUAUCUACAUAUAUAGAUAGCUUCACUCGAUCGUCAAAUUCAUCGACAGAAACAAAGAUAAUCAAUUAUUCACCGCACGAUUUCCUUUCUCUAUUUUCUUUUUUGUUGCAAAUAAUUAUUUUUAUAAUUAUAUGGGGUUGAUCCACUAUAUGUCCAGAGAAAUUAUGCUACGAGUUUACUUCUUCUUUUUUGCAGAUAUGAACCCAAUGCUUAGUUUAUUAAAUUAACGGACAAGAUAUUUGUGACGAUCUAAAUAGUAUCAGCGAAAGAUCGGUCUUGAAAAUGAGAGGAUCGUCAGUGACCCAUUUGACCAACCCAAAUUACGCGGAAGACGACAUAGAUCUUCAUUAACGAGCGAUUAAAUGAAGAAGAGAACCAGUAAUAACUACAGAAAAGAAAAAGAAAAAUAAAAAGAGGGGGGAUUAUAUCGAAACGAGGGGGCUCACACGUGCGUGGGGCUCGGGGAGGAGGGGGCAAUGCGGCACGUGCGAGGCGGAGGCGCGAGGGAAGGUGAGGAAGCUGACGUGAGGCCGCCUGAGCCUGGCCAUCCUCUUCCUCCUCUGGACCGCCCCGAGGGUGGCCACGGCCGAGACCAGGUCCGACCGGUCGCGACCCGACCCGGCAUUGUGGCCAUCGCCCGCCUUCUUCUUGAGCCCACGAUCCUCAUCGUGAUCCGCCACCAUCAUCAUUUUUUCCUCGGCGAGUGAGUGUGUGGUGGCCGUGGCUUCUGGGUUUCAGUGUAAAGGGGAGUGGGGGAGAGAGACAAGGGGGGACUGAGAAUUUGUUGCAGAUGGAGGAGCUACAGGUGGUGGUGGUGGUGGUGAGGUGGGUGUUAAGAAGAGGCCGAAGUCUAAAAAUCUGUCUCCCUCCCUCUCUCUCUCUCUCUCUCUCUCUCUCUCUCUCUCUCUCUCUCUCGUCUCUCUCUGCUCUCUACUUUCUCUCUCUAUGCGAUGAGUGGUGGGUUCUCUUUAUAGGCUUUUCUUUUUCCUCUCUCUUUUUUGUUUUGAACUUCCAUGUGCGUUGUUGAUUACACAGCGAGGCCAUGGCGACAUGUGUGCCUGCUGCAUUCAGGCUAAUGUGGGUUCAUCGUGGUUAGUGCGAUAAUCGGGUACUCAUUACUACUAUCUUCUUUUGUUUUGUUUUCUUUGUUUGGCUUGUUUUUUGGGAAGCUAGGGUUUGGUUGGCGAGUGCAAGAGUGGGCGAGGGAGUGGAGACAGGUGGGCUAUGCGCAUUCAUUCAUGGAGGGUUGCAUUUACAUCUUCUUUCUAGGGUUCACAGCGACACUCAUGGAUGUCUAUGGUGCAUAAAGACAUGUGAUGGAUCGUGAUAAAAGGAGCGCAAACUCGAGAGGAUGGUUGAACUGGGGUUGGGUUUGGGUUGGAGUUCAGCGGUUAGCAUUGAGAAACGGGAACAGAAACAAUGGGGGUUAGAGAGAGAGAGAGAGAGAGAGAGGAAGGGGUGGUGAGGUGGUGGAAGAAGGAGCGGAAGUGGUUGGGGUUUGGCCAAGAGGAGGAGGACGAAUGGAGUACGUUAGGGCUCCAGGUGUCGCAAAAGUUCUGCGUUUUCCUUCGGUUUUUCCCCUCUCUUUUCACUUUUUCCCUCUCUUUCUUUGGUUUCAGUUGUUGCUUCACCACCAACCCAGAAAUCAAUGGCAUCUGUCUCUCUCUCUCCCUCUCUCUCUCUCUCUCUCUCUCUCUCUUCAAGAUUCGAUAUGGCGGAUAUUUCUUCUGCACCUGGAAACUCAGAGACCACAUGGUGCUUUCUGUGCUCGUUGACAUGAGUUGCCAUCAUUUGCUGCGGAGGGUUUUGAGUUCAACGUGGGGAUGAUAAAACAUAAGUGUUCUAAUGUUUACUCAUAAUACGGACGAUGAUGUUGCAUCAACUGUAUAAUGUUUGUAAUUGCCUCAGGUCUACUUUCUUAAUCAUAUGCCGAAAAUAUCUUGCUUCUUUUUCCAAAUUUCACGAAAAGUACUCUACACUUUCGCAAAGAUUACAAAGAUGAUUAAUCUGCCUGGAUCAAUUGGUAAUAUAUAUUUAAUUGUAAAAGCCACUUAAUUUUGAAAGAUAAAGAGGAUAUACCUCGCUUUUCAUAAAUAAUUAUCAUGUGUAGGGUGUGAGCAAUAUUAUAUGUUUAAUUAGAUUAUCUUAUACAAUAAUGAUAUUGUACAGUUUUUUCUUCUGGACAUUUGAUUAUUUGUAAAUGGAGUGUAAAUAUGGAGUUGAACAAAAAAGUGAAGUGAGUAAAUUCUGGAUACUUCAAAAGUGGUGGGCUAUUUCCACCCCUAUGUGAUCAAAUCCAUUCCUCUUUUACUAGAUAGGCAAAAACCAGCUUUUAUGAUUUCCAUAUUUGCAUAGUUUCUUUUAACAUAGUUAUAUUCCUUUUAUGAUUUUCUGUCAAAUUAUAACUUAUUGUUAUUUAGAAAAUAAAAAUUAGCCUUUUCUUCAUCAUCACUCUUAUAACAACUCAUCUAUUCUUUAUCCCUCCUUCUCAAAACUCACUUUCGCAAAUUGAAUCAUUAAUUUCAUUAAUCUAAAAAGAUUAAGUUUCUCUAUUUACUGUAUCUAAGAAUUUGUGUUUUUUCAUUCCUAUUGGCAAGACUUUUCACAGAGUAUGUAAGAAAUUAUAAGACUAUUUAGAAAUACACUAAAACAUCAACAUGAAAAAAAGAUGCAUGUAGAGGUAUCUUGAUAUUUUUCGGUAAACUCUCCACAAAUGAUGCUAAUCAAUCAACGAUACAUAGCAUAUUACUGGCAUUUUAAUAAAAUCUUAUUUUAUGCUUUGAUUAAUUUCAUCUUUAAAAGUUUCACGCUGAGAUUGCAACUGCGAUCUUUGUCUUACUUUAAAAAGGGGUUUAUUUUUUAUUUUUUUUGCUUCACUUGAUCGUCCCAUUAUAUGUAUAUAUGUAAGAAAAAGGCAGCUGAUAAGAAAAAUUUUAAUGGUGAUAUGCAAAGCAAUAAAUGAAAAUUUAUGAACAUGUGACCGUGUUAAAUAGUUAGUUAUCCUUACCAAAAAAAAAAAGAGUUAGUCAUGUUAAAAUUUGUAUACAUUUUACUGGACAAUUAAUCAUAAAUCUGCUCGACUAUGUAGAAGUUUUCUACAAAUUUAUCUUCAACAAAGCUAAUUUCGACAAAAAUAAAGUAAAAGAAAAUAAACAUAAUGCCUCUAAAUUGUGACCGUACCUUGGAUACACCACCAAAAUGGCUUUUUACACAGCCUAAUGGGAUUAAAUGACUACAAUGCUCUUAUUGAAUAAGGAGAGUUUGAGGCUUUUCUUUGCAGGACCAAUCGCGUCAGUCCUACGGAAUACUUAAUCGCCGUAUCAGAAUCCAAAUCCCGAAACUCGGCAUUCAUUUUUCCCUCACCAACUUCCCCAUAUCAAAGCAGAAUCGUGUUUCAGAUGGAAUCCAAGCUGCAUAACCUAACAUCUGUCUAUUCUGGUUGGAACUCAGCAAGCUGAUCUCCUUCGUGGUAAGAGUCGUCUCAGUAAACGGACGGCAGUUCCGCAAUGAACUGCAGCAGCAGUUGUCGUGUCAUCGCCAUCUACCCUGCAAGGACAUCAUCAACGACGUACGCCAUGAUUCUUGCAGUAAGAGAUUCACGCUUGCGGAUGGGAGGGAAAAGCCCGUUCGGGGACCCUUUCCCUUGAAGGCACCGGGCGUGCAGAGGCCGCAUGUCCUUCUCCCAAAGAUCUCCGGUGCGCCACCGUGGAGAAAGGCGAGCCACCGCGCGUUGCAGGACCAUAAGCUUUAGAGGGAGAGAAGAAAGUGAAAAUGGCGGUUUCUCUUGAGCGGGGGAUGGUUUUCAAAAGCUUUUCCCGUUUUCCUUUGGUAAAUACGAGUCGGGCCAUUCCAAGCCACGUAAACGCCAUGCACGGGCUCUUCAUGGUCCCCGCUUGGUUGGAUUUUCACAAAAUACAAAAUACGAGAGAGAGAGAGAGAGAGAGAGAGAAUUAUGUUCGAAAGCUUUUAUAUAUGAAUUCUAUUGAAGAGCGCUCCGGAUACCUGUCAAACAUAUUUUUGUGAGCAAAUAUCGGAUUUUCAAAACAUUAGUUGUGCAUAUCAUAUAAUAAUCGGUAUAUUGAAGAUUGCGAUGUUUCUUUGUUUGGAUACUUAGUAAUAAGUGUCCUAAAUGCACUUUUAGAUAUAAUUCCGUAUGUUUGUAUUUUGUGUAUGCAUUUGAUUUCGCUCACAUAGAUUGAUAAGCCCUCAACUAGAGAUUUCAAUAUAAGUAACCCUCAAGGUUGGCUCGGCGCAAAUAAUUAGAGCGUCGAGGAUUUACCAUUUAAAAAUUAAAGUUUACCAUUCAACUUUCAUCAGCUACAUGUAAAUUGCUCUGGGUCAGAGUCUUUUGCAAAAUCAAAGGUCUCGGCUUAAUCAGUUUAUGAAAAUUAAAGGCUAGUCUAUAAGUGUCUAGAUAGUUCAAUCUCCACUCCUGUGUCCCUAGAUUAUAAAAAAAAGAAAAAAAGCAAAUCAAUUUAUGCGAGCAAAAAGUUGUAUAAUUAGGGCCGGUCUGUUUAUGCUUAUUUAAGGGGGGGAGGGGGAAGGAAAAAAAUAACAUUUCGCUUUCCCGUCAACAUUGAGACACAUUUUUAGAAAAAUAAUGGGAUGACCACUUCCAUCUAAAAAGGCAUGAUAUUCUUAAGAAAGGAGUUUUCUCAAUAGCGUAAUGUUUUCAAAACUCUUUUUUUUUCACUCUCUUUCCCUUUCUUUCCCGUUGGAUAAUAAUAGUGGCAUAAGAAAUCUUCAGAAUUUCUCUUAUUUUGGACAACUAGUCACAUUUGUGACAAUGGCUUCUUGAGAAGUUUCAAUAUUUGAAAGAAAUAUUAUCCAUUUUUUCAAUUAUUCUCAUGAUUACUUUAAUUUUUUUAUAUUAUUUGUAUCUUUAAGCAUGCAGUCAUCCACUUAGUUUAGUUUUAUUUCUGUUAAUAUCAUUUCAUUGUUUUUUAUCUGUGCUAAUAUAUUAAGCAAAGAAAAAAUAGUACUUUGACCGCCCCCCCCCCCCCAAAAAAAAAAGAAAAAGAAAACGUCCUAUUUUAACGAAUAUCUUCUUUUUCUUGCCCAGAUUGGCAUAUUUUAACAAUUAUAAAUCCAUGAGAAAAUGCAUAAGCUAAUAAUUCUAUUUAAUCACACCCACGUGUUUCAUAUCAAAGUUUGAAUUUCUUCUAUCCUAAAAAUUCAUUCUUGCAAAGAGUUUAAAUCUUGAAUUUUUUUUUCUUUUAUCUUUUCAUAUAAGGGAUAAAAGGCACCAAUAAUCUUUAAAUUUUUGCAAAAUAUGUAAUAAGAUCACUAAACUUUUUUUUAUGCAAUUGAGUUUUUGAACCAUGUUGCUAUUGUCUAUGAUAGUCCUUCCGUCAUGCACAUAGAUGGGAAUGAUGACGUGGCAGAUCAUGCCACCGCCACGACAUUACCAACUAGUUUAAUUGUUGAGAGAAAAUUCUAAAAAGGAGCUCAAAGUGCCCUCAUUUUCUCAAAUAAGGGUUCGAAGUGGACUUUAAUUCAAAUAAGGACCUGAAGUGCCAUCACUUUUUCAAAUAAGGACCUGAAGUGGAUCUUGUUUCAAAUAAAGGCCUGAUGUAGUUAUAUUUGUUUCAAAUAAGAGCUUGAAAUGGCUAUGUCGGUUUCAAAUAAAUGCCUGAUUUUUCAAUGGUCAAUAACAUUUUCAUCAUUUGCCAUUUCCCUUUUGUUCUUCCUUUUUUUCUUUUUUCUUUCCUUUUUUUUUUUUUUUUUGGUUCUUCUUCUUCCUCUUCGUCAAUGGUCGGCAAACCACCGGCGAUGCCCACAAAGGAUUGGGUGAGGGUCACCUUUGCCGGCGAGGGUCACCCAUGCUGGCCACAAGCGAGGGACAGCCUAACCUGGGUGAGGUGACCCUCGCCCUGGGGGAGGCCACCCCUUGCGUUCAUCUACGAGGCCGGCCCUUGCCAGAUCUGACAAGGAUGGCCUCGCCCGCGGUCGGCAAGGGCUUACAAGCCCUCACCAGCCCUUCCUAAUGGCCGAUGAUGGUCACCAAGCCCUCACCGACCAUUGCUAGUGCCCGCUGGCCGAUGUUGAAAAAGAAAAGAAAAUUUGGACGAAAACAUCCUUGACCAGUCGAAAAAUUUAGCCAGCUAGCGACCAACAAGGCCAAGCCCUUAUUUGAAAUAAUCAAUACCACUUCAGACCCUUAUUUGAAACAACCAAUAUCACUUUAAGUCUUUAUUUGAAACAAAAUUCACUUUAAACCCUUAGUCGAGAAAAUGAGAAUACUUCAGAUUCUUUUUUGAAAUUUUCCCAAUUGUUGAUGUGAAAUAAAAAAUGGGAAGAAAAUUAAGAUAAUAAAUGAGAAACUCUAGAGACCAAAAGAAAGGGAGAGAAAGAAAAGGAGAGAGAGCAAUAGAAAGACCGGCUACGUUCCACACUGAGCGUCCCACACCAAGGUUGGGUGAAUCGACGUAAUGGCCUUUGAGUCGAAUCAUUUUUUAUUUUUUUUGCCAAAAAAGAAGAAGAAGAAGAAGAAGAAGAAGAAGAAGAAGAAGAAGAAGAAGAAGAAGAAGAAGAAGAGGAGGGUCUUUUCAAUCGACCGGGUUAAGUAUGGAAUUUGGAAAUGCUGCUUCUUUGUUCCUUGUUUCUUAUGAACAUCGAAGUACCUAGAAUUCGAAAAUUGAUUUUGAGGUCAAGAAUUCGAAAAUUGAUUUUGAGGUCAAGAAUGGUAGAUCGUCAUGUCGAUGGGGAGGACUUGAAGAUCUACGUCCAAUUCUUGCUGGAAUUUCCUUUUGGAUUUUCUCAUCUCCCGCAUUUUGCACUUCAUCGAAUACAAAUGAGGGUCGUCGGGUAGUGUUGGCUGCAUAUAUGGGCUUGCUUAUGUUAGGGGAGGCGGUGGCGAGGGCGCCAUUGUUCGCAUGACUCCGACGAAAGGCUGAUGCCCCUCUCCGGCGCUUGGAUGACGGCAGCCGUCCUGGCCAUUAUGAGGAGGGCUUCCACCUAUGCUCGUUUCUCAAUUUUUACUUGGCACAAUUUAUUUUUUGUUUUGUUGAAAGAUUUCCUUUUUUUUUAUGUGGAAAAAUAUGUAAGUUUUUUCUAUUUAUUUAAAGGCUUUUUAUUGCCACAUGAGAUGUCACGUGGAUGCCAGCCAGGCAUCUAAUGGCAAACUAAUUGCCCCCUUCAACAUUUCCAAUCACUAUUUUAACGGAAGGCUCUUACAGAAAAAUAUAUAGUUUAAGGAACUAGUAGAUCCGAUCUACUUGUACCAAAAGAAAAGAAAUGGAACAUUCAAAAAAAAAAAAUUCAAAAACCUCUAAUGCCUAUAUCGCUUUCAUAUUUAGAUAUACUUUUUAUUUAUAUUGUGUACUUUUAUAAUUGCCCUCCACUAUUUUGACAAUUCAAGCCACACCAUGAAUUUAUAGGAGUUGUCAUUUCUCUUGUCCCGAUAGCUUUUGACAACCAAAUUGUUGGUCACUAGAGAUACAUUCCGGUAAGUUGCUGUAAUUUGGCCGCGACAUAAAUUCAUAGCAACCAAAUGUGGAAAUUCGAUCCCUACAUAGUUUUAUCAAAUGUUGGCCUUGUUGAUUUCAAAUUCUAGUCCCGUAAAACCUGUUUCAUACCGUUAAUUGUAGUAGAAUUUGCAAUCUCACAAUGCUCUGUUCGUCAAAUCUUUGGACAUUGAUCAUCCAAGUUCAUAAAUUGUUUCAUCACAUUGAAGUAGAAAUCCUUGACAACAUAUUUCUAGCCAUCACAAAUCGGAUCAUCAUUCCAAAAAGAGAUAAACAAAUGUCUAAGAUGAGAGUGUCACCAUCUCUCUUAUUGUCAAUGUCCAAUAUCAAGAUCUUAUUUACCCACGCCCAUGUUCAAGCCCAACCCCUGCCCCAGCCCCACCCAACUUCAACCCUAACUUCAUGUCCUAAUUCAACCUUAAACUCAAAUUCAUCUACUACUUCAACCCAAGCCUCAACUUCAACUUCACCCUGGAAUCUCGAGCCCUAUAUUCAAGCCCAGCCCCAAGCCCAGCCCUCACUCGAGACCUAAUUUCCUCCCAACUCAAUCCGAAGUGGAUAUUUCGUCUCCUAUUUCAACCAGAGUCUCAAUUUUAACCCCAACUUCAUCUACUAAUUCCACAUCAACAUUAUUUAUCAAUUCUCCCUCGACAUAAGCAUCCAAUGUAUCCAAUCCUAAUGCUAGACCCACCAGUUGAAACCCUGGAUCAUUGUUGUAAAAUUGCAUAGUCUCGUUCUUCGAGGUAUAACCAGGAAAUUUUAUAGCAUAGUUUUAGCAUAUACUCGUAAGAAUAGCAUAUACCUUGACUUUGGAACUUUAUAGCAUAAUUUUAGCAUAUACUCGUAAGCAUAGCAUAAUCUACAAACUCAUGCUUCAACCCCCAAGGUAGUUAUUUAACAAGACCCGAACAUGUCGCCUUUUCUCCAAAUUCCAUAAAGCCACUCACAUGUAGAAAGCAAUUGAGAAAUGGUGUUCCAUCUAUAAUAAAAUAGCAAUUCACCUGCCUAUAUUUCGUCCAUUGUUCAUACUCAUUACAAAUCGCUAGCUUCGGAUCACAGAACCCUACCGCAUGCACAUAAAUAAGAAGUUGCAAGUAGGCUUUCCAGUAUACUAGUGUCACGGGCCGAUCGAUUGGGAUCGUGACCGCGCGGCGACUCGGGCACUUUAGGAUCGGGAUAGAUCGCCAAAGCGCCUAAGCCAAGCCUUGCACCGUCGAACGCUCACUCGCUCGCCUUACCCGGAUCGUAGAGAGAGAAAGUAUCUAGAGAGAAGAGCUCUAGAUAGAAGACUUGCUUUGUAUUGCGGAAGUAGUGGAUGUUUACAAAUGAAGGAGGACACCCCUUUUAUAGUUGAGGGCCUCGGAUUACAACCUUUGAUCUAGAAUGCUAUCGGCGGACGAGAUCGCACUGCCUCAACUACCGACAUAAUGUCGUCUACCAACUACCGACAUAAAUAAAGGGAACAGACUCCCGUAGUAUGACUUAAUGACGGUGGUUCUUGCCCUUGCAAUGUUCGGGGAGAAGACUUGGUGGGAAUCCGAUUGACAGCAGGAAGUCCACGGGCGAGUUGGGGUCGACCUUGGGGAACCUCUCGGGUUGCCCAUUUCUAGGCCCGUGACAUUCUCCCCCACUAAUUCGAGCGACGUCCUCGUCGCUCUCAGCUCGGCGAGCAGCCUUGCGGGCUUUGGCACGAUCUUUCUUGUGCUUGUUUCUCUUCGCUCGGACACUCAUGAACGAAGGACCACAUCCUUCGAUGAUGAAGUCGGAUGCGCGUGGCGUGGUCUUUGGUUUGGACGGAGCACGCGGUGCACACUCAACCUCGGGGAAGAGUGCUUGGAUAGGCAUGGCGUGUGUUGGAGUCGGAUCCAACUUGGUCGGCGGCUUCACCUCGGACAGCUUGUUGAUGCGCAUGACAGCCUUCAAGCUCUUGUCGAGGCGUCGGAUUGACGCGAUGGUCUUGGUGUCGACCACCCCUUUGAUCAUGGGGAUCAUCGACGGGCACUUUUUGUCGAGGAUCAUCAUACACUUCGUCCUCAUGUCGAUCAUGGCUCCCACACUUUCGAAGAAUUGCAUUCCAAGUAUGAGAUCAUAAUCGUCAAGAGGGAUUACCUCGAACGACAUUCGUCCCUUCCAUCCGCCAAUCUUGACGUCCACGUCGGGUGUUGCUCCAACGCCAUGGAAGUCACCCGAGUUGAUGGGCUUGUAUGACCUCCCGGAUGGCUCCACGUGUAGACCCAAGACCUUUGCGACCUCAGUCGACAUGAACAUGUUGGAUGCGCCGGUGUCGACCAAAGCGUAAAGCGUUCGGCUGCCCACUUCGACCUCCACGAAGAACAUGUCGGUGUUUGAAGUAAUUCCUUCUUCUUUGGUCGGCGAUCGGGCCUGGAACGAGUUGAUCCUCUUCACAGCCCCUAUCCGGAUCUGCCGCUUGUCUUCUUUGGGCUCCUCCUUCUCUUCCUCGAUGGCAAGGAGGGUGUUGACACGGCCCCUUUGUUGGCACUUUUGGGUCCAGUGUGGACCUUUGCAAAUAAAGCAAGGAGAGGGCGGAGGUUGAUCGAACUUACUCGCGUAGUCGAUCGGUGGUCGACCUCUUUGGAAGGACGGCUUAGAGGUCCCUUCUCCCCACGGUUUGGCUCGGAUGUUUUGAUCGGGCGCGCCUCGGGGAGUGCCUCUCGUGUCGUCUUCGGGUCGAUCCGACCUCCAGUCUCUUGCUCGGUUGUUUCUCGGUUCAACUCUGGUGAGGUCGACGAGUGACUCGGCCAUGCUCAGCGCACGCGCAAGACUACUCAUGUCCCGCCGUUUCAGCUCAAGUUGUGCCCAUGGCUUGAGUCCAUCCAUGAAUGCUCCGAAAGCCUCCUCUUCGCUCAGGUUGCGAAUCUGGAGUUUGAGCUCCGUGAACUCCUUCACGUACUCGCGGACCGUACCUCUUUGCUCGAGGCGAUGGAGCUUGCUUCGGGCUUCUUGUUGAGCGAACUCGGGGAAGAAGUAGUCUCGGAACUCUCGCACGAAGUCGUCCCAUGUGCACAUGGGAUCAACACCUCGUCGAAUCUCAUCGCACCUAUUAUGCCACCACAGCAUCGCCAUAUCAGACAGGAACAUGGAAGCGGUUCGUACCUUGAUCGACUCAUCGUUUAUGUUGACGGCGCCGAAGUACUGCUCCAUGCUCCACACGAAGUUGUCCAGCUCUUGGGCGGACCGGUUGCCUUUGAACUCCUUUGGCUUCGGGACCUCAAUCUUGGUCACCGCUUGAGCAGGCACCGCACCAUUCGUGAUGCUAAGUUUGCAUAGGGCGAGCUCGGUCUUGAGCUCUUGGAUCUCCGCCUUCAUGGCUUCGACCUCUUCCCUACACGGGCUUACCUCCUCGAUUAUUUGGACGCGCUCGUUCAAACCAUCGAUCGAUGCUUCGAGAGCUUCGUCCUUGUCGAAUAGUGGAGCCGUGGCUUGGUUGAUGCCGGUCGUGAAGUCUUCACGGAGCGAGCCCUCAACCUCCAUGAUCCGGUCCCGCACGUCGUCAAGACCUUCCAUGAGUUCGAGCACAGCACUCCGAACCUUCCCGAUCUUCUCAUCGAACGUAGCCGCAGCGUCCACCGAGUGAUCUCUUUUCUUUGUCUUGCUGCGCGUGUCUAUGCCAGGCACAGUCUCUCCAACUAUAGCCGCAUCAUGGCUCGACAUUCUUUCAAACAGUUGGCGCUCUUCAAUCUCUCGAACGGAUCUCUCUUUAGCUCUGAUACCACUUGUCACGGGCCGAUCGAUUGGGAUCGUGACCGCGCGGCGACUCGGGCACUUUAGGAUCGGGAUAGAUCGCCAAAGCGCCUAAGCCAAGCCUUGCACCGUCGAACGCUCACUCGCUCGCCUUACCCGGAUCGUAGAGAGAGAAAGUAUCUAGAGAGAAGAGCUCUGGAUAGAAGACUUGCUUUGUAUUGCGGAAGUAGUGGAUGUUUACAAAUGAAGGAGGACACCCAUUUUAUAGUUGAGGGCCUCGGAUUACAACCUUUGAUCUAAAAUGCUAUCGGCGGACGAGAUCGCACCGCCUCAACUACCGACAUAAUGUCGUCUACCAACUACCGACAUAAAUAAAGGGAACAGACUCCCGUAGUAUGACUUAAUGACGGUGGUUCUUGCCCUUGCAAUGUUCGGGGAGAAGACUCGGUGGGAAUCUAAUUGACAGCAGGAAGUCCACGAGCGAGUUGGGGUCGACCUUGGGGAACCUCUCGGGUUGCCCAUUUCUAGGCCCAUGACACUAGACACUGAGUAGGUCAUCAAUAUCGUCGAUUCUCACAACAAAAACCCCAGCACCUUAUCACUGCCAGGAGACGGCCCAGAAUGUCGAUCCAAUCGACGAAUCGAACAUCGUGAACCUAAAAAUCAAGAUCUCGGUUAAACGGAGGCCUUUACUUCGAUAAAUCUUGGUCCCUCAAGCACGAGUUUAGUAAGGAGACAGAUUCGUCCUUUCACUAGAGGAAAGACCUUAAAACAAAACAAAAAACAAAAAAACCAUCCAUUUGCCCAUUUGCCCUAAUUUGAUCCUUUAGAGAGACAGAGUGCGGUACCAUACUAUUUUGAGCAAACUAGAGAGAUAUGUAUAACCACGUUAGAUCUGUUUGCUUAGGAGCGUGUAAAAGAAUCAAGAACCGCCUGAACUACCUGAAAUUGGACUAGACCGGAGCCGGCAGUUCCCAUGGGGGCCAAUUUGAUUCCUGGUUCUAAUUUAGUGGAACCGGUGAGUACCAAUUCGAUUUUUGAUUCUAGGCUUGGAACCACCUGCCCACCCACCCUAAUCGAACAAAUAUAUAUAUUUUAAAAAGAAAAAUUCAUUAUAAUUACUUAAUUAUUUUGUAAUUUUUUGAUCAAAUAUGUGUAUAUAUAUAUUUAUGGUUAUUGGACAUUACUGACUAAUUUUGUCUCUUGGGUGUGUAAUAAGAUUACCCCUCUACUUUUCUUUUUCAUUAUAAUAAUUCAUUUACUUAUUUUCUCAAUCAAAACAAAAUAAACAAAUGUAGAGGAAGGAGAGAACUGAUCGGAGCUGUUCAUAAGAGCCAAUGCCUCAUUUUAAAAGUAUAAUUAGGUAUUUCUUUAUCCUUCCUAUAAUUAAAUUAGAUUGACGUUGAAAAAAGAUAAAUCAAGUAAUUAAUGUUUUUACUUUUGUGAGGUUAGGACUUUUAAUGUGGAAUCUAAUUCUCCACUUAUUUCCAGCGUUAAGAAUUCUUAAGAUGACCAUCCUAUGACCUUUGAAUAAAUUAAGUUCUUAGCUAACGGGUAUUAUCUAUUCAUUUUGUCUUAUAAUUUUCAAUUCCUAAUCAAAGUAAAUGGCUCACAAUUCAACCUGCAAAUAAGGUCAAACAAACUUUGUAGGGAUUGGGGGCUGGUUUUAUAGACCCAUUUGGGAAUCGGACUGAACCGGCGAUUUCGUUUCCAGAUGAAUUCAUAGAACUAAUAAGCAUGUCUGGUUCCAAUUUUUUUAAAUCGGUUCUUUGAAUAAUUUUUUAUUUCAAAAUGAAAACUGUCCAUCCGAACCAUGUACACCCAUAUGUUUGCUUGAUAAGUCCAAGGAUGUUGCCAUGCCGAGGGAAUGGUGAUCGAAAUACUUUUAGAUCGCUAAUAUAAUUUCGGGAUAAUUUUUUAAACUUUUUUUGGAAUAUUUAUAAGACGGAAAAGUACGGGUAUUUCACGAGAAAAAAAUUGAGAAUGUUUUAUUUUUUAGAUUUCGUCCCAAAACAAUUACGACGUGCGGAAUAGCAUUGGUCCGUCGAUCCUCUUCUUAGCCCUAAAAAUCAAAAAACGUGCGCCAAGCGGUGGCCGGCGUCCGCACACAAAACCAGCACCACCGCCGCCGCCGCCACCAGUCUCGCUCAACUCCACUGCCGCCUUCUCCUCCUCCUCCACCUCGAAAUCUCUCCCCGACGCCGCCGCCCCUAGUUUUCAUGGCGAACACCGAGAACACCGAGAACCGCGAGGAAUUCGUUUACCCCGCGAAGCGCAAGCCCGAUCUCGCCCGCCCCGAACCCGAACCCGAACCCGAAGGCGAAGGCGAAGGCGAAGGCGAAGGAGGAGAUCGCUCCAGCAAGAGCCUCAAGCUCGAGCCUUUGGACAACCCCAACCACGCCGACGGCGGCGACGGGAACCACUCGGCGGAGGCCCCGGUUCGGGAGGAGAAACGGGCGGACGCGGUGGUCGAGGAGGAGGAAGAGGAGGAUGACGAUUUCGACGACGACGACGAUGACGACGACGACGACGACGACGACGACGACGAGGAUGAUGAUGAUGAGGAGGAGGAGGAUGGAGACGAUGAAGGCGACGAGGUGGAUGUGAAGGGGAAGGGGGUUAUGAAGGACGAUAAGGGGAAAGGCAAAUUGAUCGUCGAAGAAGGAGAAGAGGAGGGCAGCGGCGAUAGCAGCAGCGACGACUACGGCAAUGCCGGCGUCCGUUCGGAGAGCGACAGCGAUCUGUCCGACGAUCCGCUCGCCGAAGUCGACUUGGACAACAUCCUCCCGUCCAGGACUCGGCGGCGGACCGCCCGGCCCGGGGUUUUUAUCGCCAGGGACCGUAAGGACGGGGGAGACGACGAUCGGUCGUAGAGAUUCCGAAGGUUCAUUUAUAUUUGCUGGUUUCGAAGGUAGGGACUUCUAUUGAAUUGUUGUUGAUGCGAUCGAGGCUUUGAGGUUAGGAAUUAUAUUUGAUAGUUGUAGUUGAUUGGCAAAUGUGAUAUCGAGGAACCGGAACUUGGCAAUGCUGCUGGUGCAUUUUGUAUUGCGACAUGGUCUUUUCCUCGGGCCAAAUUUUGUCUGUCACAUGCCAUCGUUGGAAAUUACUUGGUUUUUUCUGGUAUCUGAUCACCUGAUAAGUAUGUUUAAGGUUGAAGUAAGGUCAUCUGGUUAAGGAAAGCUCGGUUUAUGAAACCGCUUAGCCGUUAAAUUGAUUGAAUUGACUAAGUAGUAGUGAAGGGCCGGUGUGGAGUGGACAACUACUUGCUUGUUUAGGCACCCGAAAAUUUCGCUAGUUGAUCUUUUCCGGAUACUUGGUGGCUGCUAUCAUAUCGGGAGGUCGGCAUGAAAGGAAAAUACUGAACCUGGCUGAAAAUUUUAAAUUGGGGUCCCCAAUUGCAAUGCACUUGGCAUUAAUUGGUUCCAGAUGAGUUUAUGCUUUGAGUUGAAAUCUCGAGAGCUUACAUUUGAUGAUAGGGUUGUAGAUGCGUUUAGGCUAUACUCGUGAAGCUAUUGCCAUGUUGGACCUUUAAUUCAGUUGCAGUUACUCGGGGUUAGAUAUUCGUCGUUUGGUUGAAUUGUCUGCAUUAAAUCUCCAUAGGAUUACGUAAAUUACAAGCAUAUGCUUUGAUGUUGCCCAGAUUUUGGAAAGAAGUUUACUUUCGUACUGAAAUUCCUCGAUGCUUGAAGCUGGGGGCUCCUUGUGCUAGUAGAGCCUGUAAUACAAGAUGCCAUGAGUGGCAUUCUAGUAGCCUGAACCUCGGUUGCUGGUGAGAUGACAAGAUUUUCACCUUAGAAGCUCCUAUUUCCUUCUUUUCCUUUUUGGUGAAUUUUGAGUGCUAUAGUGGUUUGGGAAGUAUGCAGUUGCUUUGACGAAGUAAAAUUUUGUGUUUCUUCAAAUUAUUUUGAGAUCAAGAGAAAAUACUAUACAUGUAUGGCAAUGUGCAUUGCCAUUAUCUCAGCUUGAGAAUGAUACCAUUUGUCAGAGUGUGUCUGGAACCUGAAAAAGCGUGGACGCAUGCAGUUACAACUUGCACAUUAAGAGCAGUCACUCGCCCUUGCAAGCAUGUGUGCUUGUCCACUAGUUUGUAACUGGUAACAUGUGGGAGGAAGUAUACUUAGGCCAGCUUGGUAAUCAGCCCUUUCUUUAAUGUUGGAUCAUCUGUAGUCAGUACAUUUAGGCCAGCUUGGUAAUUAGCCCUUUCUCUAGUCGGUGUAUUAUGUGGGAGGAAGUAUGUUUAGGCCAGCUUGGUAAUUGGCCCUUUCUCUAAUGUUGGAUCAUCUGCAAUCAGUAUAACUUAGCAAGUGCUCCUGCCGACCUUAGUUAUAUAGCAAAGUUUCCUAACUACCAUUGCUUUGAAGCUCCUUACUUGACUAUCUUCACCGGAGUGGAUUUGAUGAUGUGCCUGGUGCCAUUGCAUGCAAAUAUUGCCGGUUGCGCCUAGGCAUCAGACUAGUUAUUGGAAGCUUGAGCUCGUGAUCUAGUUUCUCUUGAAGCCUUAACUUUUGUCCUCAUAGUCUCCUUGAGAUUUUUUAUUAGGACUAGUGGGCAGCCUUUCUGGCAGUUGUAGAUAAUGGCAUAGAGCACAUAAAUCAUACUGGAUUGGAGCCUCUACAGUUUUCGUGAUUUCAUUCCCAAUGAGAAACAGAUAUGGUAAAAGUAGCCCUUCCUAUUGUUAUAACUGGAAGAAUUUGUGCUUCAUGCCUCUGUUUUCUUCACUCUGCUAUUUUUUGAACUACUAGUUUCAAAUUCAGCACCCUGAUAGUCCUCUCAUAUCUCCAGUGCUGCUGAUGAUCUAAGCCUAGUGGCCGAGAUACAGAUUCCAGUCGAAUCCUUGAUCAUUUCUUGGACUGUUCGUGCACGAGAGGAAAUCCACUGUGAGGCCAAAGUUCGCAGAGGUAAACAGCUUGGACAUUGAGAAUCCUGUCCUCGUCUCUGAGCCUCUAAGAUCCUCUAGCAUCAUUCCGUGUCGCAAAGUUUUUUGAAAUAUGCCUGUGUCAUUAUAACCUUCUUCCUCAGACACUAUUUCCUCCCUUUGGCACAUUUAGUGAUUUCCCUAGAGUUCUGCUAUAUCUCUGGCAGCAAAAAAUAUCCUCCCACUUUGGAGAUGGUAGUUUUGUUCUUGUUUGUUAUCUUUUGGGUAAACACCUGGCUGUUCGAACAGGCACUUCUAUCUAAAUGGGGGAUUUUCAACUCUGUUACACAUGGUGCCGACCGAUCCAUUCUCCGGGGAAAAGAUAAAAGGACACUCCUAUAUAUGGUAUGAUUAAGAUGAUCCUUUUGUCAUGCCUUUCAUGAUCAUACCCGAAGCACUCUACUGAGCCUUCUCAGCCUGGAAUCUCCAACUGAUCUCGUACAUUUUCAUAUCUUCGGGUCAUCCCAAUAGCCAUUCUUCUUACUGCACGGCUUGAUGACCGAGGCGAGGAGGAGCUUGUGAUGACUCGCUACAGAAGGUUACUGUAAGAACAUGGACAAGUCGAAAUGGCGUUUUUUCUUGGGGCCUUUGCGUUCCCUUGCAAACCAGUUUCUUGGACUUGAGGGAGGCCUCAACCCACCUCGGCCUCGACCCUGUUCAUGUCUGGGCUCUUAGAUUUGCUUGUGAUACGUUUUUACAUUCGAAGGUCUCGUACGCAAGAGAGUGCAGAUUAGAUCGUAAUGGAACAGUGAACGACAGUGGACACACACCCCAAGUUGUUGAGGCAUGGAUUCACUCUGACAAAACCACAUAUGUUGAACAUCAACAUGGUGGGCCUGCAACAUUUAUUCCUCCCCUCUUUAAUAAAGCGAGGAGGAGGAGAGGAGAGGAGGGGAGAGGAGGGAGGCUGACAUCAACGAACCCAAUCAUGUGGUCCUCUAUCUCUCUCUCUCUCUCUCUCCCCAUCUCGCUUUCGCUUUUUCGUCGUUUUAUUUUCAGGGUCGCCUGUGCUUGAUUGGAGACCACCAACGCCAGCACCACCACCAACGCCACCACCAGCAACAAGACGCCAAACCCUCUGCAGCUGUUGCUGCUGCAGUUGUCGUACCUUCCUCAUCUUCUGCUCGCCCUCGCCCUCGCCCUCUGCCUCUUUUGCUUUGCUUGCCCCCCCUUCCAUUCUUCCCCCCUUAGAACGAGUCGCUUUCGUGCUUUCCUUUUGGACGCUACGAGGACCACUCCAAAGAGUGUCGUAAAUUUGGACAUUCACGUUCGAUGUUUCACCUCAUCAAUGUCCGGAAGCGCCCCCCCUCCCCACAACUUUAUGUGUCCGAUGCCGAGGGCGGUUGGACCGCAGCGCAUGCGGCGCCGUGCGUUAUGAUGUCGCGUGGCUCUGGUGUUAUGUUAGUGUGUAUGGAUUCACUGCACCGUUUUCCUCGAGGUCCCCCGGCUUUAAAUCUGUUGGAAGAGGGCGUUCAUGGGCGCCCGGCAAAUGAGAUACCGUGUCGGUGUCAGGUCAUGCGAAGCCCUAAAUUCUGGCUCCCUCGCCUGUCCCCCGGCGAUGUCUUAUCGCUGCGGGAACCAGUGCUAUCGAUUCGGGGUUGGGACACGACGCGCUUUUUGGGAGAUGCUUACGGGAAAAAACUCUUAGCACUAUGCUAAUCACAUGACUGCAAAUGAUGGGAGAUUGCAUUCUCAAGUUGGAAAUGAUCAUGAACCCAUUAAAAGGAAUUUCUCUUUUUCUUUUUCUUUUUUCCCUCCUUUGCCUCUCUAUCGCUUUCAAUCAUCCCUUUUUCUUCUCUUCUGCUUGUAAUUAUAGGCAAGUGGGGCUAUAAUUGGAUUUGAUUAAUCUCCCUUUUGGCUUAACCACUCCCCUUUUAAAUGCAUCUUCCUCUCUCUCCAUUGGCUCAAGGCUUGUACCCAUUGCUUCAACUCACGUCAUUCCUUACCACGUAUUUCAGUUUUGCUUUAUUUUUUAAUUCAUUUUUUUAGCUUUUUUAAUUGUUUUGUGUGAUUAGGCCUCAUGUCAGACAAAUUUUGCCAGGCUAGAAAACCCCCCCAUACACUAAUCUUUAGUUUAAUCCAUAAUCAAGAGGACAUUAUUCUUGGAGCACAUGGACCUUGAGUCUUAAUCAAAGGGGGGAAGAGAGGGAGACUUUUCCACGUGCUCUUCGAUUAACUUAGGCCUCUAGGACAAGUAAUGUAAAGGCUUAUCAGCAGCUUCCAAAGAGUCUUCUAGUUGGCUUCUACAAAGUACCGAAAUUCAACACUUUAUAAAGGAGAUUAUCAUUAUUGACACUUAUUGGCUAUGUAAAGACAAAAGAUAUACCUAGGUUUUUCGCAAACGAUGUUAAUUGGACAUCAGCGUCAAACGUGGGAAUUUGGGAUUGUAUCAGGACUAAUUGAAGAAAAGAUGAGAUUCAUGAUUUCGUGAAUACUAAUGGUACGAUUAUAUCUUAACAUAACGCCCAUCCUCAUUCAAUUGCUUUUAGAAUGAAGAAAGCCUAAGUCAUGCGAGCUCAGCACAUGUCGAUGAAAGAAGAAUGGUUCGAACCUUCAUAUUACAAAGGAGAAUGUGCAAAUUGGUGAAAGAGAAAGUUGGGCGAAUACCCGUCCAUUCUAAUAGUCAGUCAUUGAUUAUAUUUCAUAUCAAUUUCAUGUCCGACUAUUCAUAGUCAUGGAAGAGGUGAUCUUGAAGAUCAUCGUAUUCCGAUACUUCAAAUCAAGAUUUGCUCUUUGCUUGUCAUGAGUAGACAAAGUCCGAAUUUUCACGUCUACCGCCGUGUCAAACUUUACUAGGAUGAGAAGAUUAUCUUUUAAGGUAUCAUAAUCAGUCGACAUGUCUUGUCAAUCACAUGAACAGUAAAUUACUCAACUCACUCGAAAAGCCUAAAAUCCUUCGUCGAUGAAUCUCCUAUGAAAUUAAACUUACCACUCUCCGGCAUGAAAACAACAAUCAGAGCAUAUAGACACACGGCUACGCUAAUAGUCACAACAAAAGCAAAGAUUUAGGAAAAACGAGGGAGAUUAUCUUAAAUGGGAGUUAGAUUAUGAUGUGCAUCUUUAUCAAGAUGUAAUACUAAUCACGAUCUGACGGAUUGGAUGGAAGAGACGUGAGUUGCUUCAAAGUGUGGAAAUUGGGGCAGAUGAAUCCAAACGCAAGUGCCUUGGACUUGGGGUUUAGUCAAUUAAGAAAAACGUCUUUUGGGGAAAAAGAGAGACGAGAAAGGCAAAUGGAUGGGAAAAGAAUGGCGUGAUUGGAAGUGAAAAAUGCUAAAGGUUGAAAAAG